UCAUCUUUAGCUAGCUGUAACAGCAAUUGUCUAUAAAACAAGAGCUACCUGUCUCUCUUUUGUAUCCAAUAUCACAUUACACUAACUCCAUCACCUUCAUCAUCAUCAACCUUUCACCUUGCUUUCUUUUCAAAAUUCCAUCUCGGAGUUUCUUGCAGUAAUUUUGCAUGAUUUCAGUUUAGUUAGUUAGGUUGCUUGAUUUUCUUUCGAAAUCUCAACAAAAAAUCUGAACAUCCACUAGAUCUGGAACUAAGCUUCUCAAACAUCCACUCUACUGGAUGAUCUAUAUUCUGGACUUGGGAUUGCAACAAAACCGAGUUCAGAUGGUAGACUUCACAUAUUUCAGAGACAAGAAGAGAUUGACAUGAUUAUUCUAGACUUGGGUAAUAUGCUGGGAAGUUUAGCACCAAAGCUAGGGACAAGAAUGGAAAAACCAACAGCAAGUUUGGAUGUUUCCCGAUUAAUUAGAGUAAUUUUGUCAAAAAUUCUCUUGAGAAUUGUUAGUAUGAGCGGACUCGGAAAUUGCAAAGCUUCCAAAUUGCGUUGUCGGUGAUGAAGAUCCUUGUGGUAAUAUGGUCCUUAAUUUUCCCCAAGUAAGGGAGAAUGAGAGUUCAUAGUCUUGGUUUGAAAUGGACCUGUUCUGUCAAAUUUUGAAUCAGUUUUUAAUCGCAAGAGAGAGAUUUAUUCAGACAAAAAGACUGUACAAAGAACUACCAGAGGUAGCUUAUAUGAAAAGAAAAAGAAGAAACAGGAAUGAAGCAAAAACAAUACUCCAACUACGAAUUGUAAUAUAUGUGUACGAGCGGACUCGGAAAAUUAAGCUAAUGAAAAGCUUUCUUUCUUCUGCCAUUUGUUUGUUCAAAUGACUUGUACUCAAACUUGUUUCUUCUUUUGGUUUCUGCCAUUGAAUUUGAAUUCCCAAACCUAACACAUGCAUCACCAACUGUGUCAGUCAGUAUUCACUACUCACUGACUCAUCUAUCCCACUACUCCUAAUUAAUAUGCAUUCAACAUCUCACACCAAACCCUCCCCCUGUCUUAACUCUAGCUAGCUACCUUCAUCAUCAUCAUCAUCAUCUAUUCUUCUAUCCGUAACUUGUCUAUAAAACAAGACCACACCACCUUACAAUUAUUACAUCAACUCCAUCACCUUCAUCAUCAUUACAAGACUUUCUUCAUUCAACUCUGAAUCAACCACUAUUUAUCUCUCAAUUUCAAGAUUCCAUCACGCAAUAAUUUCCUUGAAGUAAUUUUGCAUGAUUUUAGUUCGGUCAGUUAGGUUGCUUGAUAAUCAUUCAUAUCUCAGCAACAUAUCCUCUUAAAUUUACCCGGCCAGCUUUCGGUUCCUGCAACAAGAUUUUGUUGCUAAAUUUGGAACUAAACUUUGCAUUGCAACAAAACCGACUCAAGGGAGAAAUGGUGGGUUAUUUAGCACCAGAUCAGCUGGGGACAAGAAGAGGAAAAUUAGGAAGACCAGAUGUCCUUGUAUUUUUGGUAGCAAUUGUCUUGAAUAUAGUUGGUAUGAGUGGCCUCGGAAAACGCAGAACUAUUGCAUCGGCGUAUUUUAGAUGAUGAUCCUUGUGGUGUUGUGGUCCUUACUUUUUGCCAUGGAAGAAGGAUUAAGGUCGUCAAAUCAGAGUAUAGAAUCUCUGGUUUAAAAGGUACCUGUUCCACCAAAGAUGACCCAUCUUUACCGAUGACCAAUUCUAUGGAAGUCAAAGGUACUACAAGCACUGGACAUUAUCUAAUAUAUUCAUCCUCAUGUAAUAUCCGUAUGUGCAGACUCGGAAAAUCAAGCCAAUAAAAAGCUUUUUACAUUUUUAGUGUUCUUGCAUUUUGCGGACACAGUUUUGUAUGUUCUUUGUUUGUU